rnacentral:rRNA from 1 species
UACGUAGGGGGCAAGCGUUGUCCGGAAUUAUUGGGCGUAAAGCGCGCGCAGGCGGCUGUUUAAGUCUGGUGUAUAAUCCUGGGGCUCAACUCCGGGUCGCACUGGAAACUGGACGGCUUGAGUGCAGAAGAGGAGAGUGGAAUUCCACGUGUAGCGGUGAAAUGCGUAGAGAUGUGGAGGAACACCAGUGGCGAAGGCGACUCUCUGGGCUGUAACUGACGCUGAGGCGCGAAAGCGUGGGGAGCAAACAGG